GGUGGACACUGGCAAUGUGUGGUUGGCAGAAACUUUGGCAGUCACCUGGAUCCAAUUCAAUUUAUUCAUUUUACAGUUUCAAAAAUCUCAGUGAUUUUGUUCAGAUGAUGCAAGUGUGCUCUAUUGUUGACUAUAAAACUGUGAAAAUUUUGAAUGAAUUUGUACAUAUUUCAAAACUAUUUUCUAAUUUUUCGGUUGUGGGCAUCUCCGCUGGCUUCACGCCCGCAUGUAUAAUAUGGCGCGGAGCACCGAAAGUGUCGGCUGCUGCCAAAUAACUAUUCUAAAAAUUAUCAGGUCUGUCGAAGAGAACUGAAAAUAAGUUUUAAAGCAAAAUUAAAGAACAAACUGAAGCUGUAUUAAAAAAAUCUUUUUCGAAGUUUAUUCAUAAUAAAUUUUAAAAUACUUUCAGCACUAUGUUAUCGAUAAACAAAUUAAACUUAAUACCAUUAUUUAACCAACUUUUUUUUUUGAAAAAUGUAAUUUGUAAAGUGAACAGAAAAAAAACCAAAUAUAAUAAAAUUGCUAGGACUUCAAAUUGGUUUUCAAAAAAAAAGGAGAUAUAUCUUAACAUUGAGAAACACGCUCAAAUUGUAUUCAAAACAACUAAAACGUUUUUUGGUAAGUAAAGUCGAAAUCAAGCUAGACACUCUUGAAAUUUUUUGCGAUUUCUCCAUGCAAAAAAAAGUAAAUUGAGUUUAUCAUAUCAUUCGAACCAUUUCUCUCCAAUUUGCUUAUAGCGUAAAUUAUGCAAUGCCAACAGUUUAAGAAUUUCGUUUACUGGAGAACAAGUUGUGUAUUCAUUAUAGAUACGGAUUAAUCAUAUUUCAAACUAACAUUGUGAUAAGCACAUACAGAAACAGAUUAUGAUAAAGUUUUUGAAAAAAUAUAUAUGUUAGACGAGUGUUUUCUUUCUGGAAAAUCUUUCAAGCAACAUUUUAGUUUAUUAAAAUGUAAGUUAAAAUAAGUUUGAAUAGUUUUGAGACAACUUUGACAAGAUGUUUUGAUUUGCGAAGUCCCUACCCAUAAAAUGAAUUUCAAAACCAACUUUGACGUCAAAACAUGUACUUAAUGAACCAAUCAAUAUUAUUCGGAUGUUAACAGAUUAUUGAGUACUCCAACUAAUUCCAGAACAUAUAAGAUUGUCUUGGAUCAGUAAUAAAAUUUUUAGAAUGAUAUGCUUCUUGGUCACCUAGAAAUCGUUCGAAAUAUUGACCAAAAAAUAACUUGCUUUGAGAUCUUUUUUUUUGAAAUUGAAAAAAUUAAAUCAGCAGUGUAAAACAGUAGCCUUUUUUUUCAAAUAUCGAAAUUCCAAUACUCUCUAAUUUUUAAUGGUAUUUUUUUUGAAGAAAAAACGAAUAAAACCUAUUUUUGCUGGAAAGAUUCAAGAAUGCACAAUUUAUUAAUUUUACUUUAAUUAUUCUCACAAUUUCAACAAUUCCUGUAACAAAAAACCAAACAUGCUGACUUUUUUUUUGAGAAACAUAAAGAGUAUCUGAAACUUGCAAUAGACAAUUGCAGUAUUUAAAAGAUUGUGAAUAAUUUUAGAUUUGUUUUUUCAAUCUUUUGCUCGAUUAGAUUUUCUCUUACAAAGUUCCAAUAAUUUUAAGAAAUAAUUUCACUUCCAGUCAAAAAGUUGCAAUGGAUCAGGUUUUGCAACUCGUAAAUGUUCAAGUGAACCAAGAAAUUAUGUUUUUUCCUUAGAUUAUCAUAAUUUAACUGUGUAUGAGAAAAGUUUAUUCAAUGGUUUUUUGUGAAUGUGUGACAAGUUUGAAGGACAGAAAAUUUUUGGGAAAAAACUCCGCCAUCAAAUUUUAUACUGUUUCAAGUUAAUUUUAUCAUUCAUACAUUCAUUGGGGAGAAAUAAUGAAUUUUCUGAAUAUUCUUCUCGGAUUUUCAAGUUUUUAAUUUAUUAAAAAAUAAUUUAAUUUCUUAUUCCAUUUUUUUAUAUAACCUUGCUAAUAUGACUAAUUACAUUUUCAGGUAGUUUUUGAGAGUUUGAGAGUUUGAAUGAAUUUGAAAAAUGCCAAGAUAUCCCAUAUCUGUCCAUUUUUUGAAGCAAACUGAAUUUUAGUAUAUUUCUAUAACUGAAACAAUUAACUUUCUUCAAAAUUUUAAAACAUCCUGAAACUGUGGCUACCUUUUAAAAAAGUGUUUUAAAACAGCGCAAAAUACGCUUACAAGUAGAAGAAUAGUGACUAUUUUGGAUUAUUACAAUUAUUUUUACACCAAAGAAACUUUUUUACACGAUUUAGUUCUCUAAUUUUGCUAAUACGGUUAAAAAAUAAAAUUCACACAAAUUUUUACAGUUUCAAGUAGUUUUUAAGUUUUCAAGAGCAAUAAUGGAUUAAUACUGACUGAAUUUUUUUUCUCGAAAAAUUUUAAAAAUCCCUGAAACUGUAAUAAAUUUUUUUUGCCUCAAUGUGAGUUCCGCACAUUUUACCAGUUUUUUUUGUUUUGAAAUAAAUGUUUCAAAGUUUUGGGAUUCUAUCAACAAAAAAAAAAUAGAAAUCUCGCAUUUUUCGCAUUUUCAGAUAGUAAAUUCAAUACUCUGUGUACUCAAAAUCUUCCGAAAAUUGAAUUUAAAUGUUUUUAAAAACGAGUUUUAUAGGAACAAUAAUAACCAAAAACUUUGCUGUAAACAAGUAGAAAACCGAGAAUUUUUCCAUAUUUCUCACAAAUUUUUGCAGUUUCAGGUAGUUUUCAAAUGUUCAACAUUUUUUGGCAAUUCCAAUCUUCGAAGGCAUUAUUUUCUUUAAUUUGAAACUGUCUCAAUCGUUUUUUUAACGAAUGACGUCACACUUAUUGCCACGUUUCUCGAAGAUUUGAGCGGUUCACUGUAGGGCUGUACAAAUCGGCGUCCGGUCGUCCGAUUUUGACACCACCGGACGCACUGCGUCCGGUUUUGGGGUAGGUUUCCACGGCGGCCGACAAUUUCCGAGUUUCGCCACUCACUAUACUUAAUCAGCAAUUUUAUAGUGAGUGGCGAAACUCGGAAAUUGUCGGCCGUCGUGGAUAGGUACCCCCAACCGGACGCAUGUGCGUCCGGUUCGGACGACCGGACGUCCGGCACGGUCUCCUCGGGUGGAAACGAAGGGGGAGGGAGAUUGCUUGCGCGUUUCAGCGAUGCGCACUUCGCGUGCUGGUGCAUUUCUGGAUAUUUAAAUUUUGCUAGACAAAAAACUUUUAUCUGCGCAGAUAUCUGUUAUUUUUUCACGCGGAAAACGAUAUUUUUAUUGGAAAAGGGUAAAAUGAUGAAGUUUAAAUAUGUUUCUGACCAUUAAAUUAUAACAACUGUUUUUCAGGUGGAGAAUUCAACAAAAAAUUUGGAUUUUUAUUGAAAUUGUACGGAAACGAGGCUCAUUCAUUAGCGGAAGUCUGGAAAUUUGAACUAUUUGCAGUAAUAAUUUAAAAUAUUGAUUCACUUUCCGUUUUGAACAGUUCUGGAGCCAAAAACGGAGUGUAUUUUCGAAAAGUUUUGAUGAAAGUCAUGAAGACUCAGAUUUUCUGGGAUUUCAUGCACAAAUUUCUGGAAGUCGCUCGUUUUCUCAAAAUUUUGUUUAAAUUAACGAAAAAAAGCUAUGGAAUGGGCCUCGUUCUCUACAAUAUGCCUAAAAUCAGUUCACAUUUCUAACCUUUAAAAAGGCUCAGGUUGGUGUAGACGGUCUGUGAGAUGACGGGAUCCUUGCUUUACCUGUAAUCGGAGCAUAGCUAAGAAACUAGUUUACAAUACAGAAUGGCAUAGGAGAAAUACGACGAAAAGUGAGAAAAAAAUCCCGCAAAAAUGUUGAAGUCGAGCAUGUUCGAUUCUUUGAUGUUCAGGCAGUCCUUUUUGACUUCUGAACUGGAAACUUUUGUGAAGUAGAAACAUUUUCAUAUCAUCCGACGAAGUUUUGGAUGUCAUUUGACCGUAAGAUUACUGCGAUUUGUGCCUUUUUGAGCAGAAAAUCAUAACGGAAUUUCACAAAAAGAGUUCGAUCUGAGUUCUUUCAACAGGUACAUAGACGAAUUAUAUCUUAAAAUGACGACAAAAGUUUGCUCUAUAAACGUUACUAUUGCAGGUUAUGAGAAAAACUUAAAUAAAAAUUUAAUUUCAAAAAAUCCGAAAAUUCAGUUGAUAUUUUCAAACAGUUCGUUAUGCAUUUCCACCGAACGGUUUCCGAUAAUUUUUGUUUCUCCACUUUCGUUUCAGUCUAUUUUAUAAUUGUUACCAUUUUUGAAAUAGAAAAAUCGGCGAAAAACUAAUAAAAAACGAGGGAAAUCACUUAUCAAUGGUGAAAUCUCGAUGGACGCAAUGAAGGUGCAGCAAGCGCGCCCUAUCGCAAUUUCCACCCGAGGAGACCGUGUCCGGUUGUACAGCCCUAGUUCACUGUUUCUUAAUGUUUAUUUGAACUAAAAAUCAGAAAGGUAGCUAAUAGAUAGGCAGGAUUGCAAAAUUUCAAAAAUUUAUAAAACAGCAUUGUCCUGUAGGAAAUAUGUUUUAUACCAAAAAACAGGAAACUUUAUGGAAGCAACUAUUUAGAAAACCGGGAACUUUUUUUUUGGAUUUUUGGUACCAUAUAUUACUAAAUUAAGCCCCGCCUAUAUAUUGGUUACUAUCACUUUUUUUGUGUUCUUUGUAAUAUUUCAGACGAUACAAUAACAUUUUUGAAUUCGAGAAUUCAAUCGAACCCAUUAAAAAUCUCAAAAAUUUGACAAUGUCCUGAAACUGCAAUUUUUUUCAAAUAUCUUUAAAAAAAUUUUCGGUCAGACAUUUCUUGGUUUUUUCCUUUUUUUUUUUUUUCAAAAACAAAUUGUCAUAAAUUUUGCGAUUUUAUCCACAUUAUUUUUCUGUUAUCUUGACAAUCGAACAAAAAACAAGUUGUUACAUUUUCAGGUAUUUUUCAAAUGUUUGAGAUUUCUAACGGUGUUAAUACCAUUAAGAAUCUUUGCGAAUUAGCACUCAUUUUUUUGCCAGAUAUUUGAACAAAAUUAAACAAAAAUUUUGAGAAUUUUAAUGUCGAAAUAGGCCUCGCAUACAUAUUGGCUUUUUUAAUAUUCUGAAUUGCUUUUUUUCACAUUAUAUGAUCUCGCUAAUAUGGGUAAAUGAAACAUAAAAAUCCAACAAAUUAUUACAGUUUCAGAUAGUUUUCAAAAUUUCGAGAUUUUUUAGAAUAUUUGGGUAAUGAAAUCAUUUGAAGUCUCAAAAAUUUGAAAAAUUUCUGAAACAGUAACAACUUUUCGGAAAUGUUUUUUCAUAAAAUAAUUUAAUGAAUUACUGUAGUUUUCGCCACGAGAUAUUUGGCGCUGCAAAUAUGUUAUACGCAUUCUCAGGAAUUUCGUGUACGAUUUAUAAUGUGGUCAAAACAUCAAAAUCCGUUAAAAAUCUCGUCAAUUUCAAAAGCUAUAGAAAACGUAUAGGCUUGAUUUUUCGUUUUACUUUAUUUCUCAAACAUCAAUUAUUUUCUCGUUUUUCAGGUCUUACAAAGCCAAAAAAAAUCGAUAAUGUUGGCAAUUGCAAGAAAGAAGUUGAGCAUCCGGCGGUGAGCAUUUUAAUUCAAAGUUUUGAAAAAUGCAAGUGCGCUCUAUCGAUAAUAUGCUAGUUUGGGAGUAUCUGUUCCCCAUAUGUUUGCAAUAGAUUAAAUUCCAUAGCGGUCCUCACGUAAAUAACGUAACUAGCCAAAACAACUUUUUUUUCUGCAAAUCUAGAAAGCCAAAAAAGUUCUACUGUUUCAUCUUGCACAUUUGAACGUGCGCUAUUAAAAUAAACAUUGAUCGAUUUUUUUGCUUUUUGCUUGAUUUCUUAAAAUUUGAGAAGGAUUUAUAAAAAACAAACAGUUUCAAAUUUUUUUUUUACAAUUUCCCAUUCUUUUCAGAAGAAAUCAUCAAAUGUGAACGUCAAAAAAUUAUGGAAAAUUGUUUAAUGUUUCAAAAUGCACAUUUUAACGUGCGUUAAUUACAUCAUAUAUUCAAGAAUUACGGAUGCCGCCAACAAUAAUUUUUUGUUGCAACUGGGCUUCAAAAGUUCAUUGACAAUAAUCUCAGCUGCAAAAAAAAACAAGUUCUCUUUCAUUAACAACCAGUUUGGUUUUUGUAUUCAAAUAAUUCUCUUGUUUCUCUUGCUAUAAAAGGUUCUUAACAAAAUAAUUGCGAAAAGGCAAAAAUGUCAAACAUUUUGCCCCAAAUAUUUUUUUAACAGUUUCACAUGAUUUUUCUUCUGAAUAGUUAAUUAAAUUGAUAUUCAAUAACUCAGCUCUAUCUAAUCGUUUUGAAAAUGCAAUUUGCAAAAACCUCCGCAAGCUGUUUUUUCAUACAAUUCUAGAUGAAACUUCUGGAAAAAUGUAGUUUUUUUUUGUUGAACUAUGGCUAGAAAGAUUUUAGUUCAGGGUAUUAAGUUUAACUUUUUAAAAAAGUCGAAAAAAUUACUGUUUCACCUGGAAAAGUUGAACAAUUUCUAUUUUUUAAUAUGCAAUGAUAUUUUUGUGUGCCAAUUUUUUUUAUAAGAAUGGAAUAUCAACUACUUUUAAACAAAAAGUGGUUCAAUUGAAAGACCUUUUUUUCGUUGUAUAGUUGUAUAGUAAAUAUAAUUUAUCCACUUCUUUUGUUCUAAAUUCAAGCGAUAGUAAUAGUUACUCAAAUUUGUUCAAAUUAUUUCUAGACUUUAAAACAGAAAAAAAAUAUUUCAAAAAAAUUCACUGCUUCAUUAAAAACUCAUUUUAAGUGUUUUUCCAAUUUAAUGAUUUGUUUGUUUUGCACCCUUGUAGUUUGUGUGAUAAUUGGGGGUCCUACACUCCAACUAUUACACCCCCUGUGAACCCCUGAAACCUCAGACAAAAAACCCGGAAAUUCGAUAUUUUCAAAGACAAAAGCUUAACACCAACUAUUUCAUUUCUAGCUUUAAACUUUUUUUUUCUCUAUUUCAAAAGUUUUUCUAACACAAUAAUGAUGAGAAUUAAUGGAUUCGGAAAGAAAUUAUCGGCCAAACAAAUGCGCGCCAAGUUUGAAAGGCAAAAUGAGUGUGAUUUCGAUGAGUUGUGAGUUGGAAACAUGGUUUUUGAAAAUAGGAUGUGCACUGUUUAGAAUUUUGGCCCUUUUAAGAAGUGUUUUAAGUAAAACAGUAAUUUUUUUUGAAAAUUUCCAAAAAAAAUCUUGUUUAAAAUUGUAUUCUAAAUGAAGUAAGUAGAAAAACGUUUGCAUCGUUUUCAGACAUAUAAAUUUCUGUACAACUGUACAAAACAAACUGUUUCUUGACAAAAAUUUAUAUUGAAGUGUUCUUUAUGAAACAGUAAAAUUAUUUUUAAUUUGUACUGAAAAUUCGAUAUUUUAUCCACUUUCUUCCUAAUUAUUCAUAAGAUUCAUUAUUGUUAAACCUGAAAAACAGUGAAAGUUGAAACUUGUCUACAAACUUCAUAAGUAUUUUUAAUUUGAAAUACAAAUGUUUGAUUCUCGAAUUAAAACUAUAUAUUUCCCAUAAUUUUAAACUCUAUAUUUAGAUUUAUUUUUGGCAGGCUUUGCAGUGUUUUUUCAAACAAAAUUGACAUUUGAGAAAAACUCACAUUUAAGUGUUCCUAUUGAAACAGUAUAUUUUUGGUGAAACUUUUUCAAUUUUUUUUCUAAAUUUGGCUAUAGUUUUGUAAUUUCUAGAUUUGUAUGUAGUUUACUGAAUCAAGUUUUUGGAACUCAUAAUAAAAAAUUAUAUUUUAUCUGUUUUAUGGAGUUUUUAACUCUACGUUGGAGGUUUUUUUUGACAUGAAACAAGAACAGUUUCAAUAUUCUGCAAAAAAUUAGAAUUCUACAUGAAAAACUGUCGAAAUUUAAUCUUCCCAACCUUUUUUGUGCGGUUUUUUGCGAAAUUUAUCUUAAAACCGUAUUUAGUGGAGAAUAAAUCUAUUCAAAAUUUCUCAAUGAACAUGAAAACAUUCAUAAACCAAAUAAACCUUUCGAAACUGUGACUUUUUUUUUCGAAAAUUGGAAUUUUUCAAAAAGCUAACUUACUUCGUAACUCUCAAAUAUGGGAAAAACGUAGCAUUUUAGUUAAAACCUCAAAAACUUAGCUCUAAAAUUCUGAAUUUCUGAAAAAUCAUUAUUCAAUUUAAACCAAUAUUUAAGUAAACAUUUUCGAGAAACAGUAAAAAAAAAUGUUUUUCCAAAAAAAAAACCGUUUAAAAAUGCAUUCCAAUUUCCAAAACAACUUUUAAUUUUUGCAGAAAAGAAUCUCGAAAAUGGCGUGAACCACCAGAAAAGGCUCUUCGUUUUGAGAAUGUCAUAAUUCAAGAAACAAAUUUGCCAUUUGAACAAGUCGAGGAAUCGAAGAAAAUGUUAGGAGAUGCUCUGCAAUUAUGUGGAAUUGAAAAUGAAAUUGCAAGUUUUAUGAAACGGAAAUUUGAUGCUAAGUAUG
rnacentral:sRNA from 1 species